AUGUGUUCACUCACUUCUUCUCCCACUUUUCAUUAUUUCACUUUUGCCUCCUCUCAACUUCAUUUCUUCAAUAUAUCUACUUCAUAUAUUUUGCAAGAAUGUUGAAUGAUCUUCUCCAUCAAACUAUAAAACAAGAAGAAAAGCACAGGUAAGUAAAUGAUGAGAAAACAUGGGUAAGUCAAAGAUCUUUUUAUAUAUUUUUUUCUUUCAUUUUUAUUGGAUUUUAGCUAUAUAAUUAAUUUGUCAAGCUAUUUUUUUUUUUGUAGGAAUAUUGAACAAUGUUCUUAUAUCUCCAACAAACAUCAAAGAAAUAUAUGGGUAAGAAUUGAAAGCUGCUCUCUUGCCUCCAGUCAAGAAAGGAUGUUCUGCCAAAUAAAUAUGAAAUUGC
rnacentral:lncRNA from 1 species